rnacentral:rRNA from 1 species
GGUUAAGCGACUAAGCGUACACGGUGGAUGCCCUGGCAGUCAGAGGCGAUGAAGGACGUGCUAAUCUGCGAUAAGCGCCGGUAAGGUGAUAUGAACCGUUAUAACCGGCGAUUUCCGAAUGGGGAAACCCAGUGUGAUUCGUCACACUAUCAUUAACUGAAUCCAUAGGUUAAUGAGGCGAACCGGGGGAACUGAAACAUCUAAGUACCCCGAGGAAAAGAAAUCAACCGAGAUUCCCCCAGUAGCGGCGAGCGAACGAGGAG